AUGGACCCGCGGCGCAUUAGCUAGUUGGUGAGGUAACGGCUCACCAAGGCAACGAUGCGUAGCCGACCUGAGAGGGUGAUCGGCCACACUGGGACUGAGACACGGCCCAGACUCCUACGGGAGGCAGCAGUAGGGAAUCUUCCGCAAUGGACGAAAGUCUGACGGAGCAACGCCGCGUGAGUGAUGAAGGUUUUCGGAUCGUAAAACUCUGUUGUUAGGGAAGAACAAGUACCGUUCGAAUAGGGCGGUACCUUGACGGUACCUAACCAGAAAGCCACGGCUAACUACGUGCCAGCAGCCGCGGUAAUACGUAGGUGGCAAGCGUUGUCCGGAAUUAUUGGGCGUAAAGCGCGCGCAGGCGGUUUUUUAUAUAUAGUAGUGUCCCCCCGGCUCAACCGGGGAGGGUCAUUGGAAACUGGGGAACUUGAGUGCAGAAGAGGAGAGUGGAAUUCCACGUGUAGCGGUGAAAUGCGUAGAGAUGUGGAGGAACACCAGUGGCGAAGGCGACUCUCUGGUCUGUAACUGACGCUGAGGCGCGAAAGCGUGGGGAGCGAACAGGAUUAGAUACCCUGGUAGUCCACGCCGUAAACGAUGAGUGCUAAGUGUUAGAGGGUUUCCGCCCUUUAGUGCUGCAGCAAA
rnacentral:rRNA from 1 species